UACGUAGGUGGCAAGCGUUGUCCGGAUUUACUGGGCGUAAAGAGCGCGCAGGCGGUCGUUCAAGUCGAGUGUGAAAGCCCCCGGCUCAACUGGGGAGGGUCACUCGAUACUGAUCGACUCGAAGGCAGAAGAGGGAAGCGGAAUUCCCGGUGUAGUGGUGAAAUGCGUAGAUAUCGGGAGGAACACCAGUGGCGAAGGCGGCUUUCUGGUCUGUAACUGAACACUGAGGCGCGAAAGCGUGGGGAGCAAACAGG
rnacentral:rRNA from 1 species